rnacentral:sRNA from 1 species
ACGGCGAGAAGGAGAGGGUUUGAUCGGAGAUGAAGCCCUGUUUGAUCAUGGCUGACACCUCCUUCGAUUUCAGCGCGUUCUCGGCCGCCAUUGGAGCUCUGAUAGCUCGGUGGGGGAAUUAAGUGGGUGGUCAAGAAAACCCAGAAGUGGGAUUUUUCUGGGGAUGCAAGGAUGAAAGAAAGAUGGGUUCUUGGAGGAUUGGAGUGAGUGAAAGAACUGAAAUGUUCUAGGAAAGUAGAGAGAGAGAGAGAGAGAGAGAAAGAGAGAGAGAGAGAGGGAAAUUAAUAAAGAAUGGUUUCUCGGGAAGCAGACGGUAAAAUAUUUUCCGGGAAAAUUGAAAAAGUAGGAAUCCAAGAAAAUCGAGAGAGAGGUAAUGGUGUGAAUGAUUAUACCGAACCUGAGAAAAAGGGUUUGUUCAAGGAAGGAAGAAGGUAAUUAUAUUAACAGGAGUGACACUGUCAUUGCAUAUGUAGUGGCUAAAGCAAUAUAGGAAAUAACUUCCGUGCGACGGGUGAAUGAUAUCACUUGAGGAGCGCGAUUCUAUGUUCGUUUUUGCUCUGCCUUGGUGAUGCGCUCCUAGCUCGAAGAGCUACAUGCUGGAGAUAGGUUUAACGAUGAAUUUUGGCACUGAAGUUUUUCUACUGGUAAUCUUGAAGGGUGUUCGAGAUGAGAAACUGAUAUUUGGGAUGAUUACUCUUGAGAUAGUGUGGCU